rnacentral:rRNA from 1 species
UAGGGAAUCUUCGGCAAUGGGGGGAACCCUGACCGAGCAACGCCGCGUGAGUGAAGAAGGUUUUCGGAUCGUAAAGCUCUGUUGUUAAGGAAGAACGAGUGUGAGAAUGGAAAGUUCAUACUGUGACGGUACUUAACCAGAAAGGGACGGCUAACUACGUGCCAGCAGCCGCGGUAAUACGUAGGUCCCGAGCGUUGUCCGGAUUUAUUGGGCGUAAAGCGAGCGCAGGCGGUUAGAAAAGUCUGAAGUGAAAGGCAGUGGCUCAACCAUUGUAGGCUUUGGAAACUGUUUAACUUGAGUGCAGAAGGGGAGAGUGGAAUUCCAUGUGUAGCGGUGAAAUGCGUAGAUAUAUGGAGGAACACCGGUGGCGAAAGCGGCUCUCUGGUCUGUAACUGACGCUGAGGCUCGAAAGCGUGGGGAGCGAACAGGAUUAGAUACCCUGGUAGUCCACGCCGUAAACGAUGAGUGCUAGGUGUUAGGUCCUUUCCGGGACUUAGUGCCGCAGCUAACGCAUUAAGCACUCCGCCUGGGGAGUACGACCGCAAGGUU